UAGUGUAAUGGUUCAGCAUGGCAGACCGGAUAUCUGUAAGUGCGGGUUCGAGUCCCGU
rnacentral:tRNA from 1 species